rnacentral:rRNA from 1 species
GGAGUGGNUUGUNCCNGAAGUGGAUAGCUUAACCGCAAGGGGGGCGUUCACCACGGUAUGAUUCAUGACUGGGGUGAAGUCGUAACAAGGUAACCGUAGGGGAACCUGCGGUUGGAUCACCUCCUUA